GACGAACGCUGGCGGCGUGCUUAACACAUGCAAGUCGAACGGAGUGGCGAACGGGGGAGUAACACGUGGGGGACCUGCCCUGCACUUCGGGAUAAACCUGGGAAACUGGGUAUAAUACAGGGUAGUGUGGGAUGGGCCCGCGGCCUAUGAGCUUGUUGGUGGGGUAGUGGCAUACCAAGGCGGCGACGGGUAGCCGACCUGGGAGGGUGGACGGCCACAUGGGGACUGAGACACGGCCCAGACGCGUACGGGAGGCAGCGGUGGGGAAUAUGGCACAGUGGGCGGAAGUCUGUGGCAGCGACGCCGCGUGGGGAAUGACGGGCUUUGGGUUGUAAACUCCUUUCUCCGUCGACGCGGUAGAUGGAGAAGAAGCACCGGCUAACUACGUGCCAGCAGCCGCGGUAAUAC
rnacentral:rRNA from 1 species